CUAUACAUGCAGUCGAGCGGACAGAUGGGAGCUUGCUCCCUGAUGUUAGCGGCGGACGGGUGAGUAACACGUGGGUAACCUGCCUGUAAGACUGGGAUAACUCCGGGAAACCGGGGCUAAUACCGGAUGGUUGUUUGAACCGCAUGGUUCAAACAUAAAAGGUGGCUUCGGCUACCACUUACAGAUGGACCCGCGGCGCAUUAGCUAGUUGGUGAGGUAACGGCUCACCAAGGCAACGAUGCGUAGCCCACCUGAGAGGGUGAUCGGCCACACUGGGACUGAGACACGGCCCAUACUCCUACGGGAGGCAGCAGUAGGGAAUCUUCCGCAAUGGACGAAAGUCUGACGGAGCAACGCCGCGUGAGUGAUGAAGGUUUUCGGAUCGUAAAGCUCUGUUGUUAGGGAAGAACAAGUACCGUUCGAAUAGGGCGGUACCUUGACGGUACCUAACCAGAAAGCCACGGCUAACUACGUGCCAGCAGCCGCGGUAAUACGUAGGUGGCAAGCGUUGUCCGGAAUUAUUGGGCGUAAAGGGCUCGCAGGCGGUUUCUUAAGUCUGAUGUGAAAGCCCCCGGCUCAACCGGGGAGGGUCAUUGGAAACUGGGGAACUUGAGUGCAGAAGAGGAGAGUGCAAUUCCACGUGUAGCGGUGAAAUGCGUAGAGAUGUGGAGGAACACCAGUGGCGAAGGCGACUCUCUGGUCUGUAACUGACGCUGAGGAGCGAAAGCGUGAGGAGCGAACAGGAUUAGAUACCCUGGUAGUCCACGCCGUAAACGAUGAGUGCUAAGUGUUAGGGGGUUUCCGCCCCUUAGUGCUGCAGCUAACGCAUUAAGCACUCCGCCUGGGGAGUACGGUCGCAAGACUGAAACUCAAAGGAAUUGACGGGGGCCCGCACAAGCGGUGGAGCAUGUGGUUUAAUUCGAAGCAACGCGAAGAACCUUACCAGGUCUUGACAUCCUCUGACAAUCCUAGAGAUAGGACGUCCCCUUCGGGGGCAGAGUGACAGGUGGUGCAUGGUUGUCGUCAGCUCGUGUCGUGAGAUGUUGGGUUAAGUCCCGCAACGAGCGCAACCCUUGAUCUUAGUUGCCAGCAUUCAGUUGGGCACUCUAAGGUGACUGCCGGUGACAAACCGGAGGAAGGUGGGGAUGACGUCAAAUCAUCAUGCCCCUUAUGACCUGGGCUACACACGUGCUACAAUGGACAGAACAAAGGGCAGCGAAACCGCGAGGUUAAGCCAAUCCCACAAAUCUGUUCUCAGUUCGGAUCGCAGUCUGCAACUCGACUGCGUGAAGCUGGAAUCGCUAGUAAUCGCGGAUCAGCAUGCCGCGGUGAAUACGUUCCCGGGCCUUGUACACACCGCCCGUCACACCACGAGAGUUUGUAACACCCGAAGUCGGUGAGGUAACCUU
rnacentral:rRNA from 1 species